UACGUAGGGUGCGAGCGUUAAUCGGAAUUACUGGGCGUAAAGCGCGCGCAGGCGGCUCUUCAAGUCAGGGGUGAAAGCCCAGAGCUCAACUCUGGAACUGCCUUUGAGACUGAAGAGCUUGAGUACGGGAGAGGUGAGUGGAAUUCCCAGUGUAGAGGUGAAAUUCGUAGAUAUUGGGAAGAACACCGGUGGCGAAGGCGGCUCACUGGCCCGUUACUGACGCUCAGGCGCGACAGCGUGGGGAUCAAACAGG
rnacentral:rRNA from 1 species